UCUGUCUCGCGUUGUAUCGUUUUGCCUGACCUGCUCGUCAUGUCACCCUGUUUCUGUGGAUUUGGAUUUCUGUUUGGAUUACCUUGGUUUUUGGACCCUGUUUAUCAGCCACUCUGCCAGUGUCUCCAGGAUGAUUACUGUGUGAGUGAUUUCUACACUCGUUACCAUCUGGGUAGGAGGACUGGCGUACGCAGCCUUCUCACCGCCAGACCAUCUGCAGCCCACAGAAUCACGCAGCAACCCAUGCAUGAGCCACUGUAACAUAGAUGGAGCAGCUGAGAACCACGAACUGUAAAUAAAUACAACCAUGUUAAAUACA